AUGUAUGUAUGUGUGUUUUAGGUGAAAGUUUACAGAUCAAGUUAAUUGCUCAUAUAAAAUUUAUACACAUAUUAUUAUGUGACGUUAGUUGUAAUCCCUAUGUGACAGCACACUCCCCCUUUCCACCCCAGGUUUCUUAUGUCUAUUCAACCAGUUCCUGUCCCUUCCUGCUUUCUCAUCCUGCCUCCAGACAGGAGCCACCCCUUUGGUCUCGUGUAUCUGCUUGAACUAAGAAGUACACUCUUCACAAGUAUUUUAUGUUUUGUAGUCUAGUCUAAUCUUUGUCUGAAGAGUGGGCUUCAGGAAUGGUUUUAGUUCUGAGUUAGCAGAGCAUCCGGGGGCUCUGGCUUUAGGGCUUCCUCCAGUCUCAGUCAGACCAUUAAGUCUGGUCUUUUUACGUGAAUUUGAGUUCCGCUCCACACUUUUCUCUUACUCCAUCAGGGACUUGAUGUUGUGUUCCCUGUCAGGGCGGUCAUUUGUUGGUAGCCAGACACCAUCUAGUUCUUCUGGACUCGGGCUGAUGGAAUCUCUGGUUUAUGUGGCCCUUUUGUCUCCUGGACUGAUGUUUUCCUUGUGUCUUGGGUAUUAUUCAUUCUCCUUUGCUCCAAGUGAGUUGGGGCCAAUUGAUGAAUCUUAGAUGGCCGCUCACAAGCUUUUAAGAUUGCAGACGCCACUCACCAAAGGGGGAUGCAGAACAUUUUCUAAAUAAACUUUGUUACGCCAGUUGACCUAGAUGCCCCCUGAAACCAUGGUCUCCAGACUCCAGCUACUCUGUCCCUCAAAGUGUUUGGUUGUGUUCAGGAAACUUAUUAGCUUUUGGUUUAAUCCAGUUGUGCUCACUUCCCCAGUAUUGUCUGUUAUCCUUUCCUUUACCUAAGAUGAUUCUUGUCUACUUUUUAAUUAGUGAAUACCCCUCUCCCCCUCCCUAUCCUCAUAACCAUCAAAGAAUGUUUUCUUCUGUGUUUAAACCUUUACUUGUGUUCCUAUUGUAGUGGUCUCAUACAAUAUUUGUCCUUUUGCAGCUCACUCAGCAUAGUGCCCUCCAUAUUCAUCCAUGUUGUAAAAUGUUUUGUGGAUUCAUCAUUGUUCUUUAUCAUUGCGUAGUGUUCCGUUGUGUGUAUGUACCAUAAUUUGUUUAUCCAUUUGUCUGUUGAUGGGCACCUACGGGUGUGUAUAUAUUUGUUCAUGUGACAGUUCUUAUUUCCCUAGGAUAUAGUCCAAGGAGUGGGAUUGCUGGGUCGUAUGGAACUUCUAUUAACAGCUUUUUAAGGAAGUGCCAAACCGAUUUCCAAAGUGGUUGUACCAUUUUACAUCCCCACCAGAACGCAUAAGUGUUCCAGUCUCUCCACAACCUCUCUAACAUUUGUCAUUUUGUGUUUUUUUGAUUAGUGCCAGCCUUGCUGGAAUGAGAUGAUAUUCCAUUAUAGUUUUGAUGUGCAUUUCUGUAGUGGCUAAUGAUCAUGAGCAUUUCCUCAUGUAUCUGUUAGCCACCUGAAUGUCUUCUCUGGUGAAGUGUCUGUUCAUAUCCUUCACCCAUUUUUUAAUUGGGUACUUCAUACCUUUUUGAUGAACAUAUUUCUCCAACUCUCAGUUUUGUGCUUUCUUGAUCUGUUUUUCGAAGUAUGUAAGUUAGUGAUUGAAUUUGGCUGCAGUGUAACAGAAAACUAGAACAGCGACUUAAACAAGGUGGAGGGGCCAGGCUGGCCUUUGGCGUUGCAGCUGUGACAUCCUCAGGACAGACGGCAGCGAGUGACGGGGGAACCCAGAACGUCGCUGCUUCUAUCAGGAGGACAAAGCUUUUUCAGAAACUCCAGCUGAUGUCUCAUCUGCCACAGCUGUCACAUGGCUGCCCACUAGCUGCCAGGGAGGCCCAGAAAUACAGUUCUUCUGCUGGGCACAUAGCCACCUGAGUAGACUCAAAGUUCCGGUUGGGUCAUUGUACCAACUCUGUAACAGUUUCACUUUUUCAGGGGCUGAAGUAGCCAUUUGUCAUAGGUCAGAGGAUCUCCUACGAGGGUAGAGAAGUUAAAUGUAGAUAACUCAUUUCGUUGGGCAAUGUCUAGAGAUAGUGGGGUUUAUUUCCAGGAGUCUUGGUGGCCUGGCCGACUAACACAGACUGUCAUGCCAUCAGCGUCACACAGCUCCAAAUUCAUAGAAAUGUCAACUGAAACAUAACAAAAAGAUACAGAGCUGACUGCUAGAGAAAAGGGAAAUGCCAGCUCCCAAGGAUGACGAGAAAGCAGAGCUAGGGUAUAAACUCAGGAGCUGAAACACCCCCGCCCAGGGGGAUGAUGAUUUUGACUGUGAGCCUCAGUAAGGGGUUCUGGGGUUUCAACACAGACACAGGCAGGGAGGCUGAAACUGAGGCCUGCGUGAAGCCAAGAUCUAAAAGGUGCUGCAGCCUCGGAAAGGGGCUGGCAGAGCUCCACACCAUAUCCCAGGGAGGCCCCAAGUAGUCUGCACUGGACUUUAGGGUGGGGAAAGGGAGAUUUCCGUGAGAAAGGGUUGAAAUUUACAUUACAAUCGAGUAUUGUGAGCACCUGCUUUAGGUGCCAGGUAGCGUUCUAAAGGUGCUGGCAAUAGAGCAAUGAGUAAAACAGACGGCAGUGUCUGCCCACUUGGGGCUCAUAAUGUCAUUGAAAAAAAAUUAACUGGUGUAAAUAUUAGACACAUCUGAAGAAAAUUAUUGAAAGGACAGAGUAAGCCAGAAGGUAGCAGAAAAGAGAUGGAAAGCAGAAGAUUAACUCAUGGAGGAAACUGUAAGGGUCAGUAUACAUGUACUUCAGGAAGAAGAGGGAGAAAAGACAGUGAGGAGAGACACUUGGGAAUGACUUAAGCUAACGGCUUCACGCACAGUAUUUUCAGGCACAGAUGUUCUGACUGCCAUCUCGCCGGAAAGGGUUAUUCAAGAGGCAGAAUUCAGUUACACAACACCAGCUUUAGGCAAAACAAAACCAGUGUUCCUGACUGGACAUAGGGCCUUUUAGGGGAUUAGAGGAGGGCAUGACCCCAAAGGGUAAGGGCUGCAGGCCAAGCUGGAUUCUUAACGGCUGGUUCUUGAAAGGCUGGGGGAACUUUCUUAUGAGCCGGUUCAUUUAAUCCUGAAACCUUCAGUUUUACCACCGGAGGCCCAUUUUUUAGUUUCAUCAUGCUGGUUAACAAACCGUUAAUGUUACCAAUAAAAAUCUUUUUGAAAUUUAGUGUAUAAAUUAACAGCAUUGUAUGAUGAUCAAGAUACAGACAACAGUACCUAGAAUAGUUUCCUCUGGACUAUGGAUUUCCUGACUGGAGUGCUAGCUGAUCUUCCUGGACUCCACUUUCUUGAUCAGAAUGCCUGCAGGGCCUAAGUGAUGGCUUUGCAUAAGUAACUACACAUAUGUUGUUGAUAGUUGCCUUCUUGUCGAUUCCAACUCAUGCAACCCCAUGUGUGCAGAGUAGAACAUAAUACCACACUGUACAUGCUGGGUAAAAGUACGUUACAGGUACCUUAACAACUAUAUGGAAAGAGAAGUGGCUAAGAAGUUUCCAGAAUUGAUGAAGGACAUUGUUUUCGAUAAUGACACUUGCCUUCUGGCAACACAGAAUGAAAGCAACAGUGGCUUAAGCUGUUGGGAUUUAUUUUUCUCUCCGACAUCUAGUACAGUAGCUCUACAAGCUCACUGGGGCCCUGGCCUUUUCUCUCUCAUCCACCAUGCAGUUUGCAUUCUCAUGGUCAAAAAAUGGCAGCUGCAUUGCUCACAUUCCAAAUAACAAAAAGGAAAAAGGGGCAAGGGCAAAAAGACACACUGCAAAUGUGAUGGCGGAAUACAGCCUGUGCAGGGGGAAAAAUCGAGGAUUCAUGACGCAGUAGGUGUGCACAACAAGAAAUGUUAAAGAGAGUGCUUUAGGCGGAAGCAGAAUGAUCCCAGAUGAAAUCCAGGAAUGCAGGAUUAAUGAAGAGCAAUGGGGCUGGUUAGUAUGUGGACAAAUAGGAGUGAAUACUAUUAAACUGGGAUUUAACAGAUCUGGAACGAAAAUGCAUCAUACAGUGACACAAAAGACAGGAGGAGGGUGAGUGCAGGUAGUGUUCUAAAAAAAAAGUCACAAAAUAAGAAAAUAGGCAUUUAAGUGCUUUGUAAAAUAAAAAAUUUCUUAAAUGCUUUGUAAACUGUAAAUUAGGGUAAUGUUAACCACUCAGCUCUGUUUCCUAAUUUAUCAAAUUUAAUGAUAUCAUCCCUACCUACAUUUCUGUACUUACUGGGAGAAUCGAAUGAGAUAAAUGAGAUAAUAAACAUUAAAAAAAAAAAAAAAAAAACCUUAUAAAUGUUAAAAUACUGUGUUAGUGAGUCUUCUAAAAUUAUUGUCACCCUGACCGUGAAGACAUUCAGGCAGGCUAAUUGCAAUUGUGAAGGAGAACAAACACGUACUCUCAUGGCUUCCUUAGGCCCAAGGUAAGCUGUGUCAGCAAUUAAUAAGGAAAAGUAAUAUUCAUUUAGCUCUUUGUAGCCUGUACCAGGUUAUAUAAGCAAUGAGAGAAGAGUAAGGCAUGGUCCCUGCCUUUUCCUCAAUCAGCAUUUGUUGAGCACCUACUGUGCGUUAGUGGACAGGAGCUUAGACACUUUAAGUGCAUUAUGUGGUGUUCGCAUGUUUGCCUGACAAGGUGAGUAGUAUCCCUGUUUCUCGCAUAGAAACUGAGGCUCAGAGAAGUUAGAUAAUGAAAAUCUGACAGGUCCCUGAGCUAGCAUUUGCGCCCACAUCUCUGGCUCAAAACCUAUGUUUCACCAAAUAAGAAAGCUAAAAUCUUUAAGUGUUAAAUAGCUUAGCGAAAAGAACCAGCUGUUAGAGAAGAUGAGUGAGAAAACAUCAGUGUGGAUGGGGCAGUUAGGGGAGGCUUCCUACAACAUUUAGGACUUGAGGUAGACCCUGAAGGGUAGCCAGAGUUUAGUAGGUGAAGAAGAGUGAACAUUACUAUAAUUACCGUUUACUAGGCUGAGUCAAAUAGUAGGCUGUGUGUCCUGAAAGGUCAGGACCUAACAUCCCUCCCCAUUGGCCAUCCUGCCUCAGGCAGUCAUUGGUCCCAGGACAUGAACUAGGGAUAGGUGAGUGGGGGACUUACUGAGGCAGCACUGAGAACUGAAGAAGAUAGAAAUGAUGGGAGGUUCUGCUUAUUUUCAGAACUCAAGUACAAGGCCCAACCUCAAGGUCAGGGUAAAGCCAAUGAGGUAACAUCUAUAUAGUUUUGUAAACAUGCUGCAUCAGAGGACUGACUAAACAUUUUGUAGAAGGCAACUUUUUCUUUUAAUUUUUGAGUCCUAGGCAUUGGGGUGAGUUAGAAGGGAGGUGUUGGGGGGUUGAAACACUGGGAUAGAAAUUAGUAGGCUCUUUCCUUAAUGGAAACCUGGUGGUGUGGUUAAGAGCUAUAGCUGCUAACCAAAAGGUUGGCAGUUCAAAUCCACCAGGCACUCCCUGGAAUACUUACGAGGCAGUUCUCCUCUGUCCUAUAGAGUUGGUAUGAGUCGGAAUCGACAGCAACGGGUUUGGUUUGGUUGUGUUUUUUUUCUUCCCCCUUAACAGGAUUCAGUGAUUUUAUGCAGUUCACGUGAAUGCAUUGCGCCUCAGUCACCACAUUUGUCCUACCUGUUGGAUUGCGGGGAUAAAAAUAAUAUGAUAGAUACAAAAAUGCUUCGAAAACCCUAAAGUCUGUGGAUGAUAGAUUACACGUACCGCCGACAUCUUUACAACUGCAAAAGAGUAGUGGGAAGGAAGUUGAUCAUAACAUAUGCUCUGAAGUUUUUCUCCCCCCUUGAAAAAAAACCCAUUACCAUCAAGUCAGUUCUGACUCAUCACGACCCUAUAGGAUAAAGUAGAACUGCCCCAUGAGGUUUCCAGUGCACGGCUGGUGGAUUCAAACUGCCGACCUUUUGGCUAGUGGCCGCGCUCUUAAGCACUGCACCACUCCAGCUUCCUAACUUGAAAAGGCGUAUAAAAUAGGUAUACAGAUAAGUCUGUAGGUAUAUAAAAUCAUUGCCAGAAGAGAGAGUAGGUUAUGUAUGUAUAUGUACAUGCAUACAUACAUACAGCGCACACUCUGUUUUUCUAGCAAUGAUUUUUAAAAAGACUUAAAUUAUGCCCAUGUACCCAAACUUUCCAAAUUAAAGAGGUAACUGAAGCCAAGGGAAACCUCAUUUUGGGCAUAAGGCAAUGUGAGUAACUGUUCUAUUUUCAUAUGUAAUAAUGCCGUUAAAGUACAAAGUAUAGACGGUGAAUUCCCCUACACGUGCUCUUCUGCUGGUUAGCAGACUCAGGAGGUAUAUAAGCUACAAGCAAAUAGGUUCCCUAUGCUUGCAGUGUGUCCCGUGCUGGGUUUACCUCUCCAGCAGUGUUUUGCAACAUUCUUAAUCCGUAUUCCCCCAGCCAGCUUUGUCUGAUUUCAUUUCUUGUAGUUCAUAUUGUUGAAACAGUACACAGUUUUUUAUGUUCUAAAUUUUUAAUUAUAUUGUUUUUCGAACUCAUCCCCCUCCUGCUGUUAAGACUUCCUGUAUUGUACAGAAUGAGGCAAAAUAAGACAAAGAUUCUAUUCCUCCAUCUGUUGAGCAUUGAUUUGAGGAUAAGGUUCAAACUCUUUGGUGUAGCACAGACAAUAAGCUAGGACAGUAGUUCUCAAGUAUUUUUUUAGGAGUGCAGCCUCUUCUAUAGAGAGCAGCCUUGCCUCAACGCCCAAUGUGUAAAGCAUUUAAAUGUGAGCCCGACUGCUGGGCUGCUUCCGCACUGUCUUAGUUACCUAGUGCUGCCAUAACAAAAAAUACCCCAAGUGUGUGACUUUGAAGAACAGAAUUGUCCCAUAGCUCUGGAUGUUAAAAGUCCAAAUCACGGUCUUGGCCAUGUCACUUCCUUCUGUGGGCCUCCUAGUUUCUGGUGUCUGCCAGCAAUCUUUGGCAUCCCUUUUCUUGUAGAUGGGUCCUAACAUGCCUGUCUCCCCUGUGUGUGUGUGUGUGUCCUUUUUAUAAGACACCACUCAGAAGUGAUUAGGUUUAGGACCCACCCUACUCUGGCGUGACCUUAUUAACAUAAACACCUAUUUUCAGACAAGGUCAUAGAACAAGGGCUAACGCUGUCACAUUAGGGGGAAGGUCACGUUCAGUCCAUAGCACGCGCUUGCGCCUCAUGGCAUCUGAGAAGCACAAUUUGAAAACCACUGAUUUAAGUACGCCUAUUUUGUUCUCCUCAUCUCUGGCCACUAGCCUACGUGACUUCUCCAGUCUAGCCGUUCUCGACGACGGGCAGUUCUCCACGGAGUCUUUCGGUUUUGCAGUCCUUUGCCUUUGCAUGUGCUGUUUCUCCGCUGGAAAUGACACAUGCACAUACUGAAUUUUGAUGACACUUAAUUUUCCUUGAUAGCACCUUUUCCUAGCUAUCUUCCCUGAUACGCUUGUGUGUGCUUCCACAGCCUUCAUUUUGCUCCUCUAUCAUUUCUUUCGGGACCUUCAUUUGUUGGCGUGGCAUGACUCAAAAUGAGAAGAAACAGCUGCAAACAUCUGUUAAUAAUCAGAACAUGGAAUGUACAAAGUAUAAAUCUAGGAAAAUUGGAAGUCAUCAGAAAUGAAAUGCAAUGCAUAAAGAUAGAUAUCCUAGGCAUUAGCUGAAAUGGACUGGUUUUGGCCAUUUUGAAUCAGACAAUCAUAUGGUUUACUAUGCCAGGAAUGACAAACUGGAGAGGAAUGGCAUUGCAUUCAUCAUCAAAAAGAACAUGUCAAGAUCUAUCCUGAAGCGCAACACUGUCAGUGAUAGGAUAAUAUCCAUACGUCUACAAAGAAGACCAAUUAAUAAGACUGUUCAGAUUUACGCACCAACCACUAACGCCAAAGAUGAAGAAAUUGAAGGUUUUUAGCAACUUCUGCAGUCUGAAAUUGAUAAAAUGUGCAAUCAAGAUGCAUUGAUAAUUACUGGUGAUUGGAAUGCAAAAGAUGGAAACGAAGGAUCGGUAGUUGGAAAAUAUGGCCUUAGUGAUAGAAGUGAUGCAGGGGAUUGCAUGAUAGAAUUUUGCAAGACCAAUGACUUCUUCAUUGCAAAUACCUUUUUUUUAAAAACAUGAACGGUAACUACAUGAGGACCUCUCUGGAUGGAAUACACAAGAAUCAAAUCGAUUCCAUCUGUGUAAAGAGACAAUGGAAAAGCUCAGUAUCAGAACAAGGCCAGAGGCCAACUGCAGAAUAGACUUAUUCAUUGCAAAUACCUUUUUUCAACAACAUAAAAGGUGACUAUACAUGUUUACCUCUCCGCAUGGCAUACACAGGAAUCGGAUCAACUAUAUCUGUGGAAAGAGACAUUGGAGAAGCUCAACAUCAUCAUGAAUGUGUUAAAAAGCAAAGAUGUCACUUUGAGGACUGAGGUACACCUGACCCAAGCCAUGGUAUUUUCAGUCACCUCAUAAGUGUGUGAAAGCUGGACAAUGAAUGAGGAAGACCGAAGAAGAAUUGAUGCCUUUGAAUUAUGGUGUUGCUGAAGAAUAUUCAAUAUACCGUGGACUGUCAGAUGAACGAACAAAUCUAUCUUGGAAGAAAUACAGCCAGAAUGCUCCUUAGAGACGAGAAUGGUGAGACUUUGCUUCACCUACUUUGGACGUGUUAUCAGGAGGGCCCAGUCCCUGGAGAGGGACGUCAUGCGUGGUAAAGCAGAGGAUCGGCAAAAAAGAGGAAGACCCUCAAUGAGAUGCAUUGACACUACCACGUCAACCAUUGGUUCAAACAUAGCUGUGACUGUGAGGGUGGCGCAGUGCUAGGCAGUGUUUGGUUCUGUUGUAUGUAGGGUCGCUAUGAGUUGGAACCGACUCGACAGCAUCAACGUCAUAGAAUCCACUGUGCUCUAAUAGUUAAUUUAUUAGACUCUCCGCCACUGUAAUUGUGUUCUCUUUGAGGGCAAGGACACAUUCUUAUUUGAGAUUCAGCCUUUAGUGUCAAGCAUGUGUUGGUAAUCAGUAAUGUUUACUGGAUACACAGAUGGACAGACAGAUGAAGGACUUACCAAUGGACCAAAGUGAAUGACGUGUCCCAAAACCUUGAACUAUGGAGGAGAGUAAAAGGAACCGACAGAGGAGAAUUCUCAACAUAGUGUGGCUUGUUUUAAUUUGUUGGUAGGUUAAGAGUGGACCUGACACCAUACUUCCCAGAAUGCAGUCAUCACCAAGUUAACCCUAGGGAACAACCCAGCAUGAGUCACACAAGUCCGGCUACUUCCCUUCUCUCCGUAUCGGGUGCCGUGUAUUUAUAGCUAAUGCUGGUGGUUUUUCACUUGUUAAACAGCAAAAGAAUAAUGGUUGCAUGAAGGCUAAACAAAAGCCUAAUGGAAAUGGUUUUAAUAAUUAAUUUUUAAAAGGCUUAAGAAUGACAGCUCAGCUGGGAAGUUAUAAAAACAUUUAAGCUGAAAUAUCAGCUAGAGGAUGCUGCUCUUUGGAAUAUUCUUCUGGGGUUAAAUGGGGGUAAUUUGAAAGCUAGCAGGAAGUUCCAUGAUACUUUGUUAUGCUUUAAGGAAAAAAAAAAAAAAAAACAGCAAAUCAUACCCUUGAAAGGAAGAGUGUUUUACAUUUGAUUGUUACAAGAUGGUGUGAGUCAAUGAAACAUGGAAUGAAUUGGAAGCUGUGCCACUUAAUGUAUUUUAUUGUAUAACACACUGCUUUCAAAAUCAUUCUUAGAUGAUAUUUAAGCUUCCUUUGCCUUAUGCCCUAAAUGGCAUAUUAUUUCUCCUAGAUAAUUAUCACAGAACAAAAAGUUCUAUGGAAUGUUCCUACUUUGCCGUAACUCAUUCCAUUGAUGGUCUCAGUGAAUUCUGGUGAAAGUUUAACUUAAUUAAAUUCAUAAGUGUAGUAAUUCCCUUAUAUGAAUGAUGGAAUUUCCAUUUAUUGAUCAUCUACUGUCCAGAUCACUAUGUUAGGUGUUCCCCACCCCUCCCCCCCACUAGGGUAUAUCAGGAAAUCUACACAGUUAUCCUAGAAGGCUAUCCCCAUUUUAAAACCAAAAGAAAAAAAAAAACCCACUGCCGUGGAGUCGAUUCCAACUCACGGCGACCCUAUAGGACAGAGUAGAACUGCCCCAUAGGGUUUCCAAGGAAUAGCUGGUGGAUUCGCACUGCCGAUCUUUUGGUUCCAGCCAGAUGCUUAACCACUGACCCACCAGGGCUCCAUCCCCAUUUAUAGGCAUGUGGCACAGCUAAGGAAUGGACCAAGUCCAUCUGACUUAAAAUCUUUAUUCUUUCCACUGCGUUACUGUUUUCCAAUGACCAUGCAAUAAGAAACCUUGUUAUCAGAGGCAAAUAUGUUACAGGAAGCAAAAUAAAGUGCCCUAGCUUAUAAAUUUCCACCCCCCUAGGGCAACGGGUUUGGUUUUUUGGUUUAGCUCUGUUGACCAAAGAAGAAUUGAUGCCUUUGAAUUAUGGUGUCGAUGAAGAAUACUGAAUAUAUCAUGGACAGUCAGAAGAAUGAAUACAUCUGUCUUGGAAGAAAAACAGCCAGAAUACUCUUCAGAAGCCAGGAUGGCAAGCCUUCGUCUCAUGUACUUUGGACAUGUUAUCAGAAGGGACCAGUCCCUAGAGAAGGACAUCAUGCUUGGUAAAGUAAACCCCCCUACCGCCAAAAAAAAAAAACAACUAUUGCUGUUGAGUCAAUUCUGACUCAGUGACCUAUAGGACAGAGUAGAGCUGUCCCAUAGGGUUUCCAAGGAGUGCAUGGUCGAUUCAAACUGCCAACCUUUGAGUUAGCACUACACCACCAGAGUUUCCUGGUAAAGGAUCAGCAAAAAAGAGGAAGUCCCUUAAUAAGAUGGAUUGACACAGUGGCUGGAGCUAUGGGCUCAAGCAUAACAAUGAUUGUGAGGAUGGCACAGGACCAGACAGUGUUUCAUUCUGUUGCACAUAGGGUCGCUAUGAGCCCGAACUGACUCAAGCGCACCUAACAAUAACAGCUUUCUUAUUUUUUCCUUUGGAGAAGAUGAGGAAACCUGCAUUCUCUGCCCCUACGCCUAUGUCUUCAGUGCCCAGACUGAUGUUAUUACAAGGUAAUAAUUUACAUUUGAAUAUCAUUUUCAAAGAAUUAUCAACAUCUUACUUCAUUCUCAUUUUACAAAGGAGAAGAUUAAAGCCCAGAUAGGUUUGAUGACUUACCCAAAGUCACGUAGCUAAUAGUAGAGGGCUUUUACAUAAAUUCAGAAUUCCUGAUUACAGAUACUCUUUCCACUACAUCCUCAAGUGAGAACAUGUGUGAUUUUUCUCUAAGCAUGGGAGAGGAUGUCACUUUCCAGAGCUCCAUUUGUUUCUUAUCUUGAAAAAAGUUUAUCCUUCUGAGGCAUGGAAUUGAUUAGGUACUCACACACAAGCCCCUUCAUAUCCUGUUGUAAUUAUCUGGAGGUGUAGAUACCACUCUGCAUCUUAAGAUUCCGCAAAUGGAAGUGAGAGAACACAUGCAAGUUGUUAAACCAUCAUUAUUCAUUUAAAAUUAUAUGAGUGUGGUCCUCAGCACAGCAGACAGAGAAGGCUCAGAAGUCCACCCACUAAAAGAGAGUUUCCAGCUGGCUUUUCUCCCUCAGGACUUCUUAUGUAACUGCUACAAAAGUCCAUCAGCCGAACAGGCCUAAUUGUUUUCCAAAAAAUGUCAGAGCAGGAGGGGAAAUCUUAGAAUUCAUGUUGUCUCAUCUUCUCAUUUUCCUGUAAGGAAACUGAGUCUCAGGAAGGAGGUUUGAAAUGUUUUACCCAAAGUGAGCAAGUAAAAUGGCAGAAUGGGAAGAACAUUGAAUUUGGAUCUAGAAACUGUGAUUAGAGUAGUCUGCUUUAAGCCUCAGCCUUUGUCUAUAAAGUGAGAAUACCAUACAACUUUGCUGAACAUAUUAAAUCACAUGAUGUAUCAGGAGAGGAGCUUCUGUUUCUGUGUAAGAUGACUUAAGGUUAGCAAUUUGAAAGGAAACUGGAAGCAGCAUUUAUAUAAGAUCAAGAAGUGUGAACCAUCCAUAGCAAACAAGGGUUGUAGUGUUGAUAAAGACUAUGAGGGGUUGGUUAAAGAUCCUCCUAAACAUUGCCAUUUUGAUUGGGAACUAUCUUUAACCAUAAUGCUUUAUUCAAAUGCUAUAGCUUUUGCUAUUUGUUCUGAUGAUAAAGAUGGCAAUAACAAAUAUGAGUACAAUUCAGCAUCUCCAUUCUUCCAUCCCAUUGAUCCUUUCACACCCCUGUGUUACCCUCAAUAUUGGACUUCACUCCUUUGAUUUUUGUUAUUAUACCUUUAGUAUACUAGUUCUGUCAAAUAACUAAGGAUUAUGGACUCUGUGGGGAAAUAAUAAUAGAUUUUUCUCCUUCUGGUAAUGGAAGACUCAUAAUUUGAAAAAUCUUCCCACAGAAGCAAUAAAAAAUCCAAACCAAAUAUAAAAAAUAUUUUUAAAGCAAAAGAGAACUAAUAAGAUAGUGAAGAAUUGCCACCUGUGAUCUGAAAAAAGGUGCAAAUAUAGAAUGAUUAGCCUAGCACUCACAACCACUUUUGGCAGUAUUCACCAAGCUGUAUGGGCAGCUUUAUUGUUAUGGCAUUGUGGGACUACAGGUACAAAAGUCAAAGCCCAGGGCUUAUCAGGGAGAGUACCCUUGCAUAAUAUUCUGGAAACAAAAGAAAACCAGAAAUAAACCAGCCAUCAAUCUACUUAACCAGAGAUCGUGUCAGAUGGGUGGCCCAGAACACAGACAACUUCAAAAUUUGUAAGCAUCUGCAGGCAUCUAGCAGAAACAAAGGACUUCCUAUGCCUCAAGUUAUUUCUAUAAAUAAUAUUUCAAUUACAGUAUAAGGCACACAGUCUAAGACAAUGAGUCCCUAAAAUGACCAGACAGCAUAAGUGAGACACACAACAGAAACAAAAGAGACCCACAGGGCUUUCACAUAUUACUGCUAACAAUGAAAAACAAGUGGACUAUGUUCAAGGAGACAAAAGCCAAACCCAAAAAUUUCAGCAGUGCACUGGCAACCAUAGAAAGUAAUGUCAGUUCUGAAAAAGAACUAAAUAGAAAUUCUAGGUUCUGAAUUUUAGGUAAAAUUCUAGAAUUCAUUGGAAGGAUUUAACAGCAAAUUAGACACAGCUGAAGAGAGAGUGGAUGAGAAAAUAGGUUAGAAGAAGUAAUUCAGGAUGAAUGAAAAGACAAAAAGUUGGGAGAUAAGGAAUAGAAGAGAGAUUGUCUUAAAGGAUACAGUUAGAAGAUCUAGUAUAUAUUUAUUGAAGUCCAGAGGGAAAGACGAAUAGAAGGAAGUCAAUUUUGCAUGAGAUAGUGGCAGAUAAUUUUCCAAAACUUAUGAAAGGCAUCAGUCCACAGAUUAAAGAGCCCAUACAAAUGUCAAACAAGAUAAACAAAAUCUGUACUUCACAGUGGAGUUGUAGAAAACUAAAAGCAGUAAGAAUAUCUUAAAGAUAGACAAAAGAAAGAGAAUGCAAGCUUACCUUUAAAAAGGUAAGGAAUUGACUUCUCAAGCAAUAACAGAAGCCAAAAGAUAGUGGUGAAAUGUGCUAAAAGAAAUUAAUUACCAAAUCAGAAUUCAACACCUAGCAAAAUUAUUCUUUAAGAAUGGAGAAAUAAAGGCAUUUUCAGGCAAGAGAGUUUGCCACCCAUAAACCUGCACAAAGGAAAUUUUAGUGAUAACUUUCAAAUUGAUAGAAGGUUACUGAUGGAGAGAUGAAUGGAGAGCAAAGAAAAUGAUAUCUUGUGAAGUUGAAAUAAAAAAAAAAAUUUAGAAUCAAAAUACACUACAACAAUAGCCUAUAAAUUUAAAGGCAGGUAAAUGGAAUUAAAGUGUGCUAAGGUCCUUCCAUUGUCUGAGGAGAGUAAAGGAAUCAAUUCACAUGAGACUGAUAAGUUAGUGUAUAUUUACACCUAGUGUAACCACUAAAACAACAGAGAAAAUAGUGUAUACUUAACUAAUUGUGAGUCCAAAAUGGGAUGAUAAAAAAAGGAAGACAAAAAUCUAGAGGAUGUUAGGACAUAGGCCAAAUAAAUAAAAAACAUUUAAUAAGAGUACUGUUGUUAGGUGCUGUUGAGUCAGCUCCAACACACAGUGACCCUACAUACAACAGAAUAAAACUCUCCCUGGUCCUGCGGCAUCCUCACAAUUGUUGCUGUGUUUGAGCCCAUUGUUUCAUCCACUGUGUCAGUCCAUCUCGUUGAGGGUCGUCUUUUUCACCUUCCCUCUCCUUUAACAAGCAUAAUGUCGUUUUCCAAGGAGUGGUCCCUCCUGAUAACAUGUCCAAAGUACUUAAGAAUAGACUUGAAUUUGAAUAUAUCAGUAAUAUCAAAUGUAAAUAGAAUAUACGCUCCAGUUAAAAGACAAAGAUUGUAAGACUAAUUUUUUUUAAUCCAACUAUACACCAUUAGAGACACAUCUAAAAUAUAUGUAUACCAAUAUAUUGAAAGUAAAAAGAUGGAAAUUAUACUGUGGUAUUAGCAUACAUUGCACUGGGUAAAUCUGCUGCAAAGGACUUCUUUAAACUCUUGAGUGAAGAUGUCACCCUGACGACUAAGGUGCGCCAGACACAAGCCCUGGUAUUUUCAAUCGCAUCAUAUGCAUGUGAAAGCUGGACAAUGAAUAAGGAAGACUGAAGCAGAAUUGACACCUUUGAAUUGUGGUAUUGGCGAAGAAUAUUGAAUAUAACAUGGACUGCCAAAAGAACGAAUAAAUCUGCCUUAAAGUACAACCAGAAUGCUCCUUAGAAGCAAGAAUGGCGAGACUGCGUCUUACAUACUGUGGACGUGUUGUCAGGAGGGAUCAGUCCCUGGAGAAGGACAUCAUGCUUGGCAGAGUACAGGGUCAGCGGAAAAGAGGAAGACCCUCAACGAGGUGGAUUGACACAGUGGCUGCAACAAUGAGCUCAAGCGUAAUGAUUGUAAGGAUGGCUCAGGACCGGACAGUGUUUCGUUCUGUUGUGCAUAGGGUCGCUUUGAGUUGGAGCUGACUCGAUGGCACCUAACAACAACAACAACAGUUAUUAGCAGAUAAAAUACUAAGAAUAAAGGGUCAAAAUAUAAUGAUAAAAAGUCCAAAUUACCAAGAGAAUAUAUUAAUUAUAGAUUUGUAUGUAUUAACAUUAUUUCAAAAGAUAUAAAGCAAAAAUUGUUGCAAAUAUAAGGAGAAAUCCAGUCAUAGUGACAGAUUUUUAACACAGUCUAGAAUUUGAUGGAACAAGUAGGCAAACUAUCAGCAAGUGUAUAGAUAGACAACAUGAUUACCAAACUGAAUCCAAAGGACCUAUGAAGAACCCAACAGUUGCAAAAUACACAUUUUUCUCAAGUAUACGUGGAAUAUUUAUGAAAAUUGCCCAUAUAGUGAACCAUAAAUUCUCAACACAUUCCAAAGGUUUGAUACCAGCCAGAAUACAUUCUCUGAUCAUGAAAAUUAAGCUGAAAAUCAGUAACAAAAAGAUAACUAUAAAAUCCCCUGUGCUUGGGGAAAAAAAUACGUAUAUGUCUGUAUGUAUAUAAAAUAACACAUCAGUGUUAGAAGAAACCAUAAUAGAAAUGAGAAAAUAUUCUGAAUGAAAGUAUAAUGAAAAAUCACAUAUCAAAACUUGCUAAAGCAGUACUUAGAUGAAAAUUUAUAGAAUUAAAUGCACGUAUUAGAAAAGAUCUACACAGUCGACUUUGUGGAUCAUAACGAAUUAUGAAUAAUAUUGCAAAGAAUGGAUAUUCCACAAAACUUAAUUGUGCUUAUGCAGAACCUGUACAUAGACCAAGAGGCAAUCUUUCAAACAGAACAAGGUGACACUGUGUGUUUUCAAGUCAGGAAAGGUGUGCAUCAGGGUUGUAUCCUUUCACCAUUCUUAGUCUGUAUGCUGAGCAGAUAAUCCGAGAAGCUGGACUAUAUGAAGAAGAACAGGGCAUUAGGAUUGGAGGAAGACUCAUUAACAGCCUGCAAUAUGCAGAUGACACAACCUUGCUUGCUGAAAGUGAAGAGGUCUUGAAGCACUUACUGAUGAAGAUCAAAGACCACAGCCUUCAGUAUGGAUUGCACCUUAACAUAAAACAAAAAUCCUCACAACUGGACCAAUAAGCACAUCAUGAUAAACGGAGAAAGGAUUGAGGUUAUCAAGGAUUUGAUUUUACUUGGAUCCACAAUCAACACCCAUGAAAGCAGCAGUCAGGAAAUCAAAUGAUGCAUUGCACUGAGGAAAUCUGUUGCAAAAGACCUCUUUAAAAUGAUAAAAAGCAAAGAUGUCAUUUUGACGACUAAAGUACACCAUGAUAUUUUCAGCUGCCUCAUAUGCAUGUGAAAGCUGGACAAUGAAUAAGGAAGACCAAAAAAGAAUUGAUGCAUUUGAAUUGUUGUGUUGGCAAAGAAUAUUGAAUACACCAUGGACUGCCAAAAGAAUGAAUACAUCUGUCUUGGAAGAAGUACAGCCAGGAUGCUCCUUAGAAGCAAGGAUGGCAAGUCUUCCUCUCACAUACUUUGGACACGUUAUCGGGAAGGACCAGUCCCUGGAGAAGGAUAUCAUACUUGGUAGAGUAGUGGGUCAGCAAAAAAGAAGGAAGACCCCCAAUGAGAUGGAUUGACACAGUGGCUGCAACAGUGAGCUCAAGCAUAGCAAAGACUGAGAAUGGCUCAGGACCGGGGGAUGUUCAGUUCUGUUGUACAUAGGAUCACUAUGAGUCGGAACCGAUUCAGCUGCACCUAACAACAACAACGUUAGAAAAGAGGAAAUGAGCUAAUCAGCUGUAUCAGACACUUCUUGUGCUCUGUUUCAUAAUCUCUUAACCUGACGUUUUACUUUAACCAUUGCUGUGGCAACUAGCUGCACAAAGGUAAAAGUUAACUGUACCAUGCCUCAGCUGCACCCUGUAUAUCCUUUCCCCUGAAUCUUUUCUGCUGCCAUCACACGUGUUGCCUACAGGAACCUGCUCAACUAUUUUGAUAUUCGUGAAAACACAAGAGGAUUGGGUGCCUCGAAUUUCAUGAGGUAACCCUUACCCGGGGGCAGGGGGGUGGGGAGGAAAGCCAGUAGAAAGUUAUUCACCACGUUCACCCUUCAAGUGGACAAUUUUGAAGCCCAUUCUACAGGACUCUUCAGAGAGUUCCCAGCAAAAUAAUGCCAUUCCGCUUAGAAGUGAUCAACUCAAUAAAGCACCCUUGAACUGGAUUGUUCUCCUUCCCUGUUUUCCUCUUCCCAAUCCUCCAUUUCUGUUCCUUAGAAUCAUAUCCCAUAAUAAACUCAUACCCAAACACUUGUCUCAGCUCUGCUACUUUGGAAUCUAUGCUAAGCUAUCUGGUGCUACAAGUAGCCAUACAACAGACUCUCCAUGGGUUCUGGAAUUGGGCCAAUGAGAUAAAACUCAUUGCCAUCGAGUCGAUUCUGACUCAGAGCAACCCUAUAGGACAGAGUAGAACUGCUCCAUAGAGUUCCCAAGGAGUGGCUGGUGGAUUCAAACUGCUGAUCUUUUGGCUAGCAGCCACAUGCUUUUAACCACUGCACCACCAGGGCUCCAUGAGAUAGAUAAAAAGGACCCCAUUAAUGUUGGUAAAUGGGGUGGUGUUAACCCCUGGCAUACAGUAGCAUCACAAUUACUGAGAUUUUCACCAGUUGUAAUUGGAAUGCCCAAAGUAGAAGAUGAAGAAUUGACUUACGUGCUAGUGGUACCACAUAAAAAAUAUGUGGUCAAUGUUAAUUAUAAGGAAUGUAAAACUAGCUGGCUUUGGUUAACGGCUUUUAGAAGUCUUGUAAAAGGAAAAGAAAGUUAGCCAACUGUCAACCUCAAGGAAUGCUGUGAAAGUCAGAAAGCUUCUACAGCAGCAUAGAAAUGCCCCCUCCUUAUGGCAGCCACAAGAGGACUGCAGAAAAUCAGUCCCAGCUUUUAAUUGUGAGAGCCACACACUUACUAAGGAAAAAAAUGCACGACCUCAACAGAUCUUCGAGUUCAAUGUCAGGACCCAGAUAGGAAAAGAGUAGACCUGAGGCAUGGGAUAGGGUUAUUUGAAUGGAAAAACCUGAGAACCUUAAACCCUCAGAUUCCUCUGAACACCAGAAAAGCAGCACCCUCCCCGCUUCCUAGGAGAACAGUCUCCCUUGCCUGCACAUCCUGUGAAGACACUACUAGAGGCAGGAGCCUCAAAAGGUGUUCCUUGUCGUCUUUAAGAUCUGCCUCUAACUCUCUUAUUUACUCCAGACCAAGAGUCAGGUCUCAGGGCAAUGCAACCCCUUCUCCAGGAGGAAAUAUACACACCUACAGAAUUGCAAGAUUUGGUUAAUAUGCACUAACAUGAGCCAGGAGAACUUGUGAUGGAGUGGACCUUAAGGAUGUUGAAUCAGGGAAGAUGAAAUACAAGGCCGUAAAGGGGAGAAAUUGUUGAUGUGGAAGAAUUCUCCUGUGACUGAAGGUCUGAUGUCCUGGCAAAGACGCUUGCAGUUGUGCUGUAUGUGCUGAGCUUGUCCCUUGUAGCUUGGACACUACAGUGGCCCUCAGUAAAUGAGGUGGAGAUACUGGAACUACCUUGGAAGAGCAUUCAGGAAUGGGUCAGAAGGCUCGAGGAGGUGGGAUUAUUAGAAUAGUUCAGCUAUGUGAUAUGAGAUAGGCCAAACUUGACUACGUCUCUAAAGGACACUCCUUCCACUAAAGCUAUAGGCACUUACUGGUGAUGCCUUGAUUUUUGAGAAGCUCAGAAGUGACUGUCCUCCAUGGGUCAUUGUCGAUGGUAGGAAAUCCUUGUCUCAGUGGUAUAGCAUUCUGGAAUUGCAGAGGACAGGUGGCAACAUUUAAUUUGUAGAGGCAUGAUUACCUUAACACGUAACAAGUUGGAAUGGCAACCAGAGUGCCUUGACCCAUUGGAUCCAUCUCACAAUGGAUUCAACCACCUUUUCCCUAAGUCUCUUAGUACAUACUUGAGAUUGAUGUAUUUAGCAGUUAAUAAAAAACUCACAUUAGUUCCCUGGAAUAAGCAAGAAUGGAAAGUGGAGGUCCCUAAAGCUACCUCUGUUCCCUGGUCAAGACAGAACAUUAAAAGCAAUCCCUCAACAACCUGGGAAAAAUUUUUGAAAUUAGUGUGGUUGUAGAAGUGGAAUCCCCAUCAUGUUCUCAUUCAGUUCAUGUUUUUGGUAUUCGAGAAGGGGGUUGAAUUUUGGUGGAUUACACUUGACAAUUGUAGACAUAAAUUAUUUGUAAUGAUGCUUCUUCCAGUACAGUCAUAGCCACUGUGCUGGCAGAAGUACCAUUACAAGUCAACACAACCUCUGGUCCAUGAUAUAUGGGUACUGAUCUUACAAGUGUUCUUCUUAAUCCCCAUCAAUAGAGAAGAUCAAAAGUAGUUGGCAAGGCAUCUGGAAGGCAUUAUGCUGAGUGAAAUUGGUCAGAUGCAAAAGGACAAAUAUUGUAUAAGACCACUAUUAUAAGAACUCAAGAAAUAGUUUAAACAGAGAAGAAAAUAAUAUUCUUUAAUGGUUAUGAGAGAGGGGAGGGAGGGAUGGUGGGAGACGGGUAUUCACUAAUUAGAUAGUAGAUAAGAACUACUUUAGGUGCUGUGAAAGACAACACGCAAUACAGGCAUGGUCACAACUGGACUCAACCAAAAGCAAAUAAGUUUCUGGAAUAAACUGAAUUCUUCGAAGGCCAGCGUAGCAGGGGCAGGGGUUUGGGGACCAUGGUUUCAGGGGACAUCUAAGUCAAUUGGCAUAAUAAAAUCUAUUAAGAAAACAAUUCUGCAUCCCAUCUUGGAGAGAGGCAUCUGGGGUCUUAAACGCUAGCAAGCGGCCAUCUAAGAUGCAUCAAUUGGUCUCAACCCACCCGGAGCAAAGGAGAAUGAAGAAUACCAAGGACACAAAGUAAUUAUGAGCCCAAGAGACAGAAAGGGCCACAUAAACCAGAGACUACAUCAGCCUGAGACCAGAAGAGCUAGAUGGUGCCUGGCUACAACCGAGGACUGCCCUGACAGGGAACACAAGAGAGAACCCCUGAGGGAGCAGGAGAGCAGUGGGAUGCAGACCCCAAAUUCUCAUUAAAAGACCAGACUUAAUGGUCUGACUGAGACUAGAAGGACCUGGGAGCUCAUGGCCCCCAGACCUUCUGUUGGCCCAGGACAGGAACCAUUCCCAAAGUCAACUUCAGACAGAGAUUGGACUGGACAAUGGGCUGGAGAGGGAUGCUGGUGAGGAGUGAGCGUCUUUGAUCGGGUGGACACUUGAGACUAUGUUGGCAUCUCCUGCCUGGAGGGGAGAUGAGAGGGUGGAGGGGGUUAGAAGCUGGCGGAAUGGACACAGAGAGAGUGGAGUGAGGGAGUGGGCUGUCUCAUUAGAGGGAGAGCAAUUGGGAGUGUGUAGCAAAGUAUAUAUAAGUUGUGUGAGAGACUGACUUGAUUCGUAACCUUUCACUUAAAGCACAAUAAAAAUUAAAAAGAAAAAGUAGUUGGCAUUUUGAAAAAAUUUGGAAACAUAAUGGUGAUGGUUGCACAACACAAUCGACAUAACUAAUGUCAAAUUGUGCACGUGAAAACUGUUGAAAUGGCAAAUGUUUUGUUAUAUACAUGUACACACUACACACACGCAGGCACACAUGCACACACAAAGCAGUUUGCAUUUAUGUGGGAAGAAGAGCAAUAUACAUUCAUGACCAUGCUCCAGAGCAAUUUAACUGCAGAUCUGUCAAUAUAAUUCACAGGCACCUACACCAUCCUGGCAUUUUUCAGAAGAUAAUGCUGUACCAUGAUUUUGAUGAUAUCAUCUUAAUCGGACUAGGUUGCAGGGAGUAGAAAGUCCUUUAGAUACUCUGGUAAGAAACAGUCCUGCCAAAGGCUGGAAAUAUAAAACCUGUUAAGUCUCAGGGACCUGUCACAGCAGUCAAGUUUUAAAGGAUCUAAUGUCAGUCCACCUCCUCUAAGACAAUGGGCCAGUUGUUAAAAGUUUGCACCACCUGGCACUAAGAGCACAGUGGUUGGUGUCCUUCACUGGAUUUUGGAGACAGCAUACAUUUAGGAAUAUUGCUCCAAUACACUUUUUAGGUGGCUUUGAAAGAUUCUAGUUUUAAUUGGGUCCUAGAGUAAGAGGGCUCUGUAGCACAGCCAGGCUGCACUGCAAAGUAGCAUGCUGCUUGUUGGUCUGUAUGACUUGGUAAAUACUUGGUUCUAAUGGUAUCUCUGCUAAAUCAAGGUGCUCUGCGGACCCUGGCAAACUGCAGUUAGGAGAGUCAUAUUUCAUAGCCUUUGGGUUCUGAAGCAGAGAUGUACUCAGCAUUUGAAAAGCAACUCCUGGCAUGUGACUUAGCCAUAAUAGAGUCUGAAUAACUGACGAAAGUUAACUAGUGACUUUCCAACCAGAGUGGGGCAUUAUGAAUUGGGUGUUCUGUCUACAGAGCCAUGAGUCAGGUAGUUGUAUCAGCAAUCCUUCACACAGUGGAAACCAUACAUUUGGGAACAGGUCCAGGGGGCACAAGCAGGUUGCUUGAACAGGUGACCCAGGUUUCCUUGGAUGACUACCUCUGUUGCUUCAACAUCUCUCACUCAAAUUAUUCCUAUUGCUUCACAGCAUGUGUGUGUUGGCGGAGUGCAGGUUCCCCACAACCAACCAGCAGAGGAAGAGAAACAAUGAGGCCUCCAGGUGGGUUGACUCAGUAUGUUUGCGCUGGCUGAAAAUGCACUGCUGUAACACAACAGCUCACACAAACGUAAGGACAGUGAUCAAGCAAAAUCCUGCCAGUCGGCAGUUUUCCUAUCAGUUCAUCUUACAUCAAGAGAUAAAGGACCUGAAGUGUGGAUAAAUAGGAAACCCUGGUGGCAUAGUGGUUAAGUGCUCUUAGGCGGUAGCAAAUGGCUUGGUGCUCAGGGGCCUAAAAAGACAAGAUUGGAAGGGCAGAGACCAGGAAGUCUUGAGUAUGAGCCAUAUAGGUGGACCAAUGAGUGUGAAUACAAAGUGAGAGGAAUGCUGUGUCUAACGUAAUUGUCCACAGCCAAGGAAGCGCUCAACAACUAAGUAGACAAAGUGACUCCUCCCUCAAAGUCCUUCCUCUCGUUUUUUUGAUCCUAAAGACCCCAACCAGAGACUACAUUUUCCAGUCUCCUUCCAGCCAGGCAGGGCCAUCUAAUCAAUAGAAUAUAACAGAAGUAAUGCAUGCAACUUCCUGCACCCUGAACAGAGGCAUGCCUGCAACCCAGCUUCAACCACACAAACAAGACCACACCUUAGGGCAUGUCUGAGCAGCAAUGUGGAAGGGACUUGUGUUCGAGUAUGAUCUCAUAGCGCUGAGUUACCCUGCUGGCCUACAUCAGCCAGGCUAUUCUCAGACAGAGAAAUAAACUUCUGUCUUCCUGAAGCCGCUGUAUUCUGGGGUUACUUUGUUAAAACAACCUAGCCCUUGCUUUAACCAAUACAUAAGAUGAAAAGUUUGAAUCCCAGGUGGAAGUUUUCAGUUCUAGCUCAAGGUCACACAAUAAAGAAGCAACAGAGCCAGAACUUGUAUCAGGGUCUUCUGGUAUCCAUUCCCUUGCUUAAUUGAUCAACAGUGUAAUCUCUACGAGAGUAAUCUCAUUCAGGCUAGACGGUUCUAUCCUUAUUUCUUUGGUACAGGACCCAAGUUACCAUUUCCUUGGCCAAAGAGACCCAACACUGUUCAGUUUAAAGGAUGAGUUAAGUUAUUUCUAUAGCCUUUGUAUGGGUCUUACUAGAGUUAUAUACUUAAAAUGCUGGACUGUUAGCUUCCGAAGGGCAUAUUUUAUUCAUCUUUGUUUCCAUGGUAUCUUGUACAUAGGAGGUGCUUUAUAAAUGUUUGUUAGUGAUGAACUGAAUGCAUGAGAAAAUAUUUGGCAAUGAGAAGAAUAUAUGGCUAAAUUUCAAGUCACCCUCCAAGGAAAAUUUAGGAAGUAACUUCAGUGUAAACACACACACAAGUUUCUGACAUGGGUAGAGACGGGCUCAAGGCCUCCAGUGUACCAAUAGCAUUAUUUGUUAGCAAAUCUUGGAAAUUAAACAGCUAAAAUAUCUUAGCUGUCAUGUUUAAUGAUUGGUUUGUACAGCCUAACAACACGAAUUUGAAAGCCGAGCUCAUUUAUUUUUCAUGCAUGCUGGAAGCAGCGGCACCUGUGUUUCAGGGUAGCUCUCACACAAGGCGUUCACGAAGCUCGAUUGGUAAACAGGUGGAUCUAAAUGCUGUGCUUUUCUCGAUUUCACAUUGUACCCAGGUGCUGGCAGCCAAUAGUUUUUUGUGGCUUUUGUUUGUUUGGUUUGUUUUGUUUUUUUAUCAAACAAUACAAGUACCAUGGUAGUGGUAAGGUAAAAACAGAAUUUUACAGUUUAAAUGUUAGAACUCACUUGUAGUUUUUAUCCAAGUAAAGAACAAGGUCUGGGACAGACCUGGGUCUGAUCCCAAUUUCCAGUAUGUGCAAGUUGUAUGAAUUUUGACAAGUUUCAUAACUUGCCUGACCCUUAUUUUCUCAUUGGUGAAGAAGAGUUAAUACCUAUCUCCGGUGAAGCGGUAAAUGUUUAGCAAUUAACUCUCAAGGUAAAAAAAAAAAAAAAAAGAAGCCCUGGUAUAUAGUGUUUGCUGAUUUCCAUGGUGUAAUUAUUCCCAUCACAGGUUAUUUCAGGAAAUCCUGGCGGGGUAGUGUUAAGAACUAGGGCUACUAACCAAAAGGUCAGCAGUUCGAAUCCACCAGCCACUCCUUGGAAACCCUAUGGGGCAGUUCUCCUCUAUCCUAUAGGGUCGCCAGGAGUCAGAAUCGACUUGACAGCAGUGGGGUUUUUGGCUAUUUCAAGAUACCAACGUGAUAUAACUGAACAGAGUUUGGAAGAGAUGAGCAGUGGCAGUACACCAUUAUACAGUAUUCUACCAGACAAACAUGGUAGGUGUCACUAACCUCAAGAGCAUAGAUAAUGGUAAAAUAGAGAAAAAUAAUCAGGAAGUGAUGACUUUUGGGUAUUUCUUUUGUCUUUAAACUAUUUAAUUGUAAGUUUAUAUAAUUCAAUUUUUAAUAACGGCUGAGUUUAGUAACUGGCUGUCCAAGUUCCUGAAAAUUUAACAGUUGGCUCUCACAAACCAUCCAUGGAAGCUCCAGCACACUGCUGCCUAUCUCAGCUCCUGGCUUUCAUAAACAACACUGCAAUGAACAAAUCUCUCCAUGAUACAUACCCAGAUCAAAAGAUGUGUGAUUGGAAUUUGGCUGAGAACUGGCCGGAUUGUUCUCCAGAAUGGCUGUGUCAGCUAGCUUUCCUGCCAGCAAUGCAUGAGAGAUCCCUAUGUCCCCCCUGACAAGGUACACCACGUCCGGGGUCUUAAAAGCUUGUGAGCAGCCAUCUAAGAUACUCCACUGGUCUCACCCCGUCGGGAACAAGGGAGAAUGAUGACACCAAAGAUACAAGGGAAAGAUUAGUCCAAAGGACUAAUGGACCACAACUACUACAGCCUCCACCAGACUGAGUCCAGCACAACUAGAUGGUGCCCAGCUACCAUCACUGACUGCUCUGACAGGGAUCACAAUAGAGGGUCCUGGAGAAAAAAAUGUAGAACAAAAAAAGACCAGACUUAUUGGCCUGACAGAGACUGGAGAAACCCUGAGAGUAUGGCCCCUGGACACCCUUUUAGCUCAGCAAUGAAGUCACUCCUGAGAUUCACCCUUCAGCCAAAGAUUAGACAGGCCCAUAAAACAAAAUAAGACUAAAGGGGCACAGUAGCCCAGGGGCAAGGACUAGAAGGCAGGAGAGGCCAGGGAAGCUGGUGCCUGGGAACCCAAAGUCGAGAAGGGAGAGUGUUGACACGUGGGCUUGUUAACCAACGUCAUAAAACAAUAUGUGCCCUAAUUGUUUAAUGAGAAGCUAGUUUGUUCUAUAAACCUCAUCUAAAGUGCAAUUAAAAAGCAAGAUCAAAGACUUCAGCCUUCAGUAUGGAUUACACCCCCCCCAAAAAAAUAGCCUUUUUUCUUAAGAACAUACCAAUAAAAAGAUGAACAUCAGGUAUACCUGAGUAGUUGACCAUAGAGAACAGGGGUUUGUUGUGCCAACAAUAUUUAUUGAGCGUUAAAUGGGAUAAUAUAUCCACAGCAUCUGUCAUGGUACUUGCCACUUGGUCUUUUUGUUUACCCUUGGCCUGCAAAAGCUAUGCUGAUUUUAUGAGACACAUUCAAGGUUAUAUUCUUGCUGCCUUUAAUGAGUCUGUAUAAGAUUGCACAUCUAUCUAAUUUCUUUCCCAGAUAAAAUACAUAAAUCCUAUAUUUAUUGUAUUUCCACUGUUAGGCAAUAUUUUCCGUAUUUUCAAUGUAAGAGCUACAUAGAGCAAUCAUCAAAACAUACAAAACCAUAAGCAAUUUCAACUGUCUUAGGUAUUUUAUCCCACUAAACCUUUGCAACACUGAUUAAUACCUAGGGAGACUAAAUGUUUUGCCCAAGAUAAGAGAACUUUCAAGAACAAGGGCACCAGCUGCCUAGAAAGUACAGGAGUUACCUGGUUCCCUGCCGGGGACCAGAAAGGUUGGUGUAGACUUAGCCGGGUGACUGUGAGACCAUGGAGUUACACAUCUACACCUUAACUAUUCUCUUAUGCAUUCUUUGUCCCAAGGCAGGAAGCAAAUACAACAAUGAUUAACUUAUAACUGUGAGUUCUUUUCUAUUUAAGUAACAGUAGAGCUGGUAAGGACCUUGGAGAUUUUAGAAAACUUUGGCUUUUGUUUACAGGAUUAGAAAACUCAAGUAAUUUGCCCAAGGUCAUGCAGAAAAUUUUCCUCAUAGCCAGGAUAGGAAGCCAGAUUUCCUAACUCUUAGUCCAGGUCUAAUAGAAUUGCAUUAAAAAAAAAGAAAAAAAAUGUCAUCAAGUUGAAUCUGACUCAUGGAACCCCAUGUGUGUCAGAGUAGAACUGUGGUCCAUAGGGUUUUCAAUGGCUGCUUUUUCAGAAUUAGAUCUCCAAGCCUUUCUUCUGACACAUUCAAACCACCAAUCUUUUAAUUAGCAGCUGAGUGUGUUAACCUUUUGCACCAGAAUCAGAUAGACUUGGGAAAUCCUAGAAAUCUAGAAAUGCUGGAAGGCAGAACCAUUAGCUAGUUACAGAGCUCAGACUAAAAGAGCUCAGACUAGCUGCUGAAAACUCCAAGCCACGCCUUCCUCACUGAUUAAAUGAGGGUAAUAUCUGACUCAUAGGGCUACCACACAGAUCAUUCCUUCAUGCAUUUAUGCAUUUAUUCAACAAAUAUUUAUAGAGCAACUUCGGUGUGCCAGGCACUAUUCUUAGGCUCAAGGAUAUAGUGGUAAACCAAGCCCGUUGUCAUCGAGUGAAUUCUGACUUGUAGUGACCCUAUAGGACAGAGUAGAACUGCCCCAUAGGGUUUCCAAGGAGCAGCUGGUAGAUUUGAACUGCCGACCUUUUGGUUAGCAGCCAAGGUCUUAACCACUUCGCCACAAGGGCUCUGGAUAUAGUGGUGACUCUGUCAAAAUCCCUGCACUUGUGGAGCUUACAUUCUAGCAAAUUUAUAUUCAAGUAGCUAAAUUAAAUAUGUUGAUAAAUCAAUCAAUGAGUGCCACACCAAAAAAAAAAAAAAGGCAGAGUAAGGAAAAAGAGAGUGAGGAAGGGUAUAUUUUAGAUAAUGAAGUCAAGUAUGUAUCUUUAAGGAGGUAAGAUUUUGUGAUAGACCUAAACGAGAUGAGGGAGCAAAUCAUUCCAAAGUCUGGAGGAAGAACAUACUAAGGAGAGGGAAUAACUAGAACAUGUCUCUGAGGUGGCAAUGAAGUUGGCCUGACCCAAGAAGAGCCUUGCAAUGGAAGCAGAGUGAGAGAGAUCAGGUGUAAGAGGAGAGGAAGUCAGCGAGAUAAGCAGAUAAUGGAAGGCGUGCAGGUCAUGCUGAGAACGGAAUGACAGAUAUUUCAGGACUCAGGGGACACUGGUAAAAGCACAGUCCUUGAAUAGGCAAGAGGAGAAGGACCAGGGCACUUACAAAGGUAUUGACCUUAAAUAGAAGCAGAGACAGCUCGCCCCUCUUCACAGGUGGGAGGAGUAAAUGAGAAUGAAGUUAAAGCAGGUGGAAGUGCCUGGCACAAGGCAAGCCCUCAGUAAGCAGCAGCCACUACCCCUUCUUACUCCUAACAACACUACUAUUAUUUUUAUCAUUGUUGUUAUUACCACCAUCACAUGGUUACUUACUAGAUUGCUGUGCAGGAACCCUGAGAAAACGGGACAAGCAUCUGAAAUGUUCUGAUCACAAUUAAAGUGUGUGUGCAACAUCUGGCUCCUUCUAGGAGGGUGAGUCUGACGGUUUCAGGGCUUGGGGUGUGCUACCUGAGGACCCUGGGCUCCCGGCAGCUCUAACUGAAAAGACAAAAAAAAAAAAAAAACAAUGCUGUCGAGUUGAUUCCGACUCAUAGUGACCCUAUAGGACAGAGUAGAACUGCCCCGUAGAGUUUCCAAGGAGCGCCUGGCAGAUUUGAACUGCCGGCCCUUGGGCUAGCAGCUGUAGCUCUUAACCACUACUCCACCAGGGUUUCUUUACACUGAAAAGAGCAGAGGAGAUAUAACUAACCAGAUAUCACGAGUAUCACUUUUUGCGACUCGCCCUUCAAGUUCUAUUUACACACCACUUCUGGGAAGCCUUCGUUGAUUCCCCAGACUAGGUUAAGCUCCGCUGCCAUGUGCUUCUGUAGCCCUUAUGCUUCUGCUAUCAUGAUGCUCUACACACUGUCUUGAAGGUACUUGUUCACAACCUGUCUUCCCAUCACUCCCUCGACUCUGUGAAGGUUGGCUGGGCCUGUCUCAUGUGGUUGUAUCCUCAGUGCCUGCUAUGUUGCUUGGCACAUAGUAGGGCUCAAUAAUUGUUGAAUGGAAUGAAUCAACAAAGGACAAUGAUUUGAGAUCAGCAAACGCCCUUGUCUGCAGGUGUUUCUGUAGACACGGCCCUCUAUCGCAGGUGUAUGCAUUGGAUGUGUGCGUUGUUGAUUUCUGCUUUAGCCACCAUUAGACCCCUCUGAGAUUAAAGGCCAGGAGAGACUGCAGUAUAUAACCUCGCUCCAGCCUCUAAGGAGCCCUGGUGGCAAAAUGGUUCAGCGCUAGGCUGCUGACCAAAAGGUCGGUGGUUUGAGCCUACCAGCGGCUCCGUGGGAGAAAGACCUGGCAAUCUGCUCCCGUAAAGACUACAGCCUAGAAAACCCAGCUCUGCUCUGUCAUAUGGGGUGGCUAUGAGUCAGAGUGGCACACAGCAGCAACUCCAGCCCCUGUACACCCAUGCUGUCAAAACCUUAACCAUCCUUCAAGACCUAGCUCAGUUCCCACCAUAUCCAGAAAUCCUCUGGUCCCCAGAUCCAGCUCCCCAAAUCUUUCCACUGAAUGUCCACAGCAAUUAGUACCUAUCUUGUAGCCAUCAGCAGACUCGUGUAUUAAAGUCUUGCAUGUUCUCAUCUUACCCUGUCCCCUCCCUCACCCAUAAGAUGCUCUUUGAACUGUAUCCCCAGGACCUCGUGUUGUGCACAUGGUACAUGUUCUACUUUGUGCUGGAGAGUGGAAGGGCACUAGGUUUGGCACCGGGACCUAUGUUUGUGCCUCAGUUCCAGCACUUACUCAUUGUGUGACUUCGCUCAAGUCAUUUCACCUUUCUGUCCCUUUGAGUCCUCAUCUGAGAAAUGGGUAUGAUGGUAAGUGUACUUUGCCCUGGCACUGCACACUACUAAACUUAAAUGAGAAUAUGAAUGUGCGAGCCCUUAGUGAAAUAUUGUACCAAUGUGAGAGGUUAUUAUUAAUGUGGUCUGAUUUCAAAGAAGUGCAGAACAGCGAUGGUGAGCUCAAGGGCAGAGCUCACCACGUCUUCUACCAGAGUUUUACAGGGAGGAGGGGUGGCCUUCUUAUCCUGUGCUUCAAGGAAAAGGGGGAUUGUAGGGAUAGGGCCCAAAAGGAAGGAGGAAACUUGAUGAAGAAAUGAGAGAAGGGGGAAGAAAGAAGAGGUGGAAUCCCAGUGAGGGAGAAAGAGAAGAGAAUGAAGCCAAUAUUUGUUCAACAAUGACCCCAUGCCAGGAGCAGCGCUUGCACUGAUACCUGUGAUCUCUCUCCAUGAGGGAAGUUGUUAGAUUGGGGGACUUUUGGUUGCAAGUGAAAGAAGAUCCAACUCGAACUAUCUUAAGCAAAAGGACUCACUCCAAGCUAUCUUAGCAACAAAAAAGAAAGGAGUGUUUUAGCUGAACAAUGGAAAAAUAUGGCUUGCUUCAGAAACAACUUGACUCUGGGACUUCAAUUUUGUCUCCAAGACCCAAAACCUCUGUUUUCCAUCUCGGCUCUGCCUUCCACUGUACUGGAUUUGUUCUCAAUUACUUAUGCAAGUUGACCAAGAUGGAGGCAGUGGCUCGUGCCCUCCCUCCUCCCAGCUUCAGAUGCAUCAGGAAGCGGACCUCCUUCGGCCCUGCAUGCCUGCCUCAAUCUCACCCCCUCGGCACUUCUCACUGGGUCACACUCCCUUCUGACCCAGUACCUGUACAGGGAGAAUGGGAUGUGCUGAGUGUCUCAGGGUCUACCUGGAGCACAGGGAUGAGAUUGGGAAGCAGAUGGUUCUUCAGAGUGUGCAGCUAUAAAAGAGGAUUGAAGCGGUGGAAACGGGGCAGCACACACCACAGACGACCACCUCAGAGCAUUCACCCAUAUUGUUGUUGUUGUUAGGUGCCAUCAAGUUGGUUCCAGCUCACAGCAAUCCUGUACAACAGAAUGAAACACUGCCCUGUCCUGUGCCAUCCUCACAAUCAUUGUUAUGCUUGAGCCCAUCGUUGCAGCCACUGUGUCAAUCUAUCUUGUUGAGGGUCUUCCUCUCUUUCACUGAGCCUCUACUUUACCAAGCGUGACCUCCUUCUCCCAGGACUAAUCCCCUCUGAUAACAUGUCCAAAGUACAUGAGACAAAGUCUCACCAUCCUUGCUUCUAAGGAGCAUUCUGGCUGCACUUCGUCCAAGACAGAUUUGUUUGUUCUUCUGGCAGCCCAUGGUAUAGUCAGUGUUCUUCACCAACACUGUAAUUCAAAAGCAUCAAUCCUUCGGUCUUCCUUAUUCAUUGUCCAGCUUUCUUCAGAGAUUUUCUUUUCACACUGUUAACCUGGACUUCAGUUUUAAUGGCUGCUUUAUAGUCAAUAAACAUUAGUUUGUUCAUUCAACAAACAUUUAUUUAAUAAGUACUUAACUAUUCCUCUGUGGGUUGCUUCCAAUUUUUAUUAUCCUAAAUAAUGUAAGAAAUAUCUUUGGGCACACACCUCUCCUGAUCUUUUGAGUUUUUCCGUUAGAUAAAUUCCCAAAGGUGGAAUUAUUAGGAUAAACAUUUUUAGCUCUUCAAGCCAUGUGGGAGGGGAUCAGUCAUCCAUGUGAUCAAAUCCACACUUUUUUGGUAAGUUAUACAAGGUCUCUUCAUGAACUGGCUUUUUCCUGGCAUAGCCCCCUAAUUUCCCAACAAUCUCCAUCCUUCCGUUUUCCCCAUCCUUAACCAAACAAACUGCAAAGAGUUCUCCAUGCACAGGACAUCUUGUUUUAACACGAAAUUCCUGCUACUAUAGGAGCUGUACUGGGGCAGGGUGCUGGAUCAAUGGCCAAAGACCCGUUAUCGGCCAUUAUCCCUCUUGUUCAGAAUCCGUUAGUCUUAAUAUUUGCGAUGCUAAUAGAUAUGUAAAUAGAUCAUUUAGAAUGUAUAGCAUGUUUCCACAUUUCUUUUUUUAUUUACUCCUCGUGACAGCCCUGUUUAUAGAACGAUAAAAGUCAGCAGACUUUUCCAAGGCCAUAUUGUGAGCAUGAGUCAGAACUGAAACCAGAACCCAGCAGAAUGCGAUUCCCAGCUUCAGGUCCAUUGUGCUACUCACAGGCUGAUCAAUCCCAGAACAGAAAUCUGAGCUCCUCAAAGACACAGGAUGGAUUCAGUUACCGAGGGAAGGAGAUCCAUAGUAACCAGUGAGACUAUGUGGGGAGUGUGAGGGUGGCGAUCCUUAAUGGCGACUGAUUUAAUCAAGUACUAGGUAGGCCAGUGCCAGUACAGUCUAUGUGGGCAGCAGUCAGUAGAAGACCCCCAUUGUGCUUGAAUGAGGACCAUGUUCCAUGCCACUCUUUGUCCCCCUUUAGAGCUCAAGGUGUUUGGAUGUUUACAGAAGAAUGGGAUUUUAGACAAGACAUACACAUACCAUCACCCUGCCUCAUUCCUUAAAGUCUAUGCUCUGACAGGCCGUGAUGAAUGGGCAGUACAGAUUGUGGCCCUUCCUUGCUGACCACAGCUAAUUGACUCAGGAACAGAUGCAGGACUGAAGGUCAGUCCACAUGUCUUGAAAGGAAGAGCUGGCCCAGGCCGAGUUCUCCCUUGGGCUUACAGUAAUGGGCCACUAACAAACUGGACUGGCCAGUAGUGUGUGCUUGAGCUGAAAGACCACAGAGAGUCGGGGCUGGGGGUCUAUGUUGGCCUUGUGCGAAAUAACGACAACUAAUAUUUAUUCAGUACUUGCCCUGUGCCCAGUACUGUUGUGGCUGUGUUACAAACAUUAACUCUUUAAAUCAUGUAAUACCCCAGUAACCCCAUUUUAUGGAAGAGGGAACUGAGUCACUGAGAGGCUAAGUAACAUCCCAUGCAGUGACAGAGCCGGGAUUUGAAGCAAAGCAGUUUGGUUCCAGAACUUGUGUCCUUGACAACUGUGCUUCCCCAAGUGAAUGAGAGAAAAGAUGCUCUUUUGGCAAAAAGGGAGCCUGGAGCAUAUGUCCAGAAGAAAGCAGAACCAGUUAGCUCAGGCAGCCCCCAGCCAGUGGAGAGAGGAGAUUUGGGUUUCUAAUUGCUGCCCAGAGCCCAGUUUCACUUGGCAUGAAGUCCAGCUACAUGUUGUUUGCAACUCCAGAAAACCAUGAAAUCUAUGAAUCUUUAAAAAAAAAAAAAAAAACUGUCUUAUUUUUAGCAUGUUUGAAUUUUCCCAAAAAGAGCCUUGACUUGAGCACUCAGAGUAGACAUGCUUUUAUCUCAGCUGAGAGAUGCCUGGGAGUCUUGGCACGGGCACCAGCAGUUGGGCUGAGUAGGGAGUGGGUGCCAUGCUCUGUGAGUCUAUAGCGUUAUUAAUGGUCUUCGUAGUGGUUGUUGUCUCAACAUGGACCCAGCACCUACGCGUGCCAAGCACAGUGCCCAGUGCUCAGGGCAUAAAGACAGCCACACCCUUCAAGAGGGAGAACAACUUGAAAACCAGUCUGCGUGAGGUAUAGCCUAAGGCAAAAGAGGUCAGGAAGGUUUCAGAGAAGCACGGAAGGAAGCCAGGUCUCAAGAGAGGAGUUACUGGAUCUCAGGUGACUGGAAAGGAGAGGUCAGAAGACAGCCAGGCCAUUGGGAGAGAAUUAAGAAAGGCUGAGAGGCCACAGAGUGGGAGAGGCACUGUGGGACUUUAAGUGGUUCAAGAUGGCUUAAGCGUGAGGUGUGAAGUGUGAGUACUGCAGAGGUGGAAGAGCCUUCUCUGCCAGGCUAAGGAGUUUGGCCUUCAGCCUGCAGAGGCUGGGAUUUGAAGAGUAUUAAGUAGGGAGGCAACUUGGUCAGAUAAGCACUUACAGAGAGCUCUAGCCACAGUGUGGGAGUUGACGAGGCCUGAAGCAGAGACCUCAGCCCAGAGACGCAAAAGAUGAGGGGUGAUGAAGGCCAGGAAGAAGGCAAUCGCGAGGAGUAAAGGGUGAGCAAGUGAAGGGAGCCCUUAGAGACCGUUUAGCAACCCCUUCAUCUUUUUUUUUUUUUUUGCCAUUUUUAAUAAUAUUUUACUGUGUUUUUGGUGAUGGUUUACACAGCAGUGUAGGUUCCCAUUCAACAAUUUCUACACAAGUUGUUCAGUGACAUUUGUCACAGUCUUUACAAUGCAUGAACGUUCUCAUUGUUUUCAUAUGGUUGUUCCAUUUCCAUUAAUCUAGUUUCCCUGCUUCCUUAUAUUCUCACCUAUGUUUUAAUCUAAUUGUUGACUAUUUGGACUCAAGUAGGUGAUUUUUUGAAGGAGCACAGUGUAACUCCAUCUUAUAGAUGAAGAAACUGAGGAGCAGAGAGACAAAGAAGCUUGUCGGUACAUUCCGGAUAGUUUGGUAAAGUAGUCAACAAAUAUUUCCUGAGCCCACCGUGAGCCAGGCACUGUGCCAGGUAGUGGGGAUAGAUUUAUUGGUAUGCACAACUCCUGUUCUCUGUCUAGUUUACUGAGGGAGACAGGUAUUUUAAAAUUAAGCACUUACAACCAUGUAAAUGCUACAGAGGAGAUGCAUGGAGUGUACUGAGGCCAAGGUGUUAGUGACAAGACUCAGAAUUCAGGAGUUCAGACCCACGGACUAGUGCUCCCUCCAUCCACCUGGGUUGCCUCAAAUGCUUUUUUUCAUGGGUCUGUCAGUGAUCAUUGGUUUUGCUAAUUUGUCUAUCAGAGUAGAAACUCCCAAGGGGCAAGCCUGUCUAAUGGAACUCGUGAGCACAAUCUGACUGCUUCAUUAAUGUUAUAUGAUAAUAAGAUUAAUAAUGCCCUCAUUUAAAUAGCCAAAUUGCGUACCAAUAAAUAUCCAUUUUCUUACCAAAGUAUUUUACAAUCAUAGAUGGUUUAAUUAAUUAUAUGUUUAAUUUAAUUAAUUACAAUAUAUUUGAAGAUAUAAAGGAGAAUUAUUAUAUCCCAAUAUACUUCUUCCUGGUGCGUAUCUCAUGACAACUUGCUCUUCCCUUUGCCCAGAUUCGUUCUCUGUUCUUUACUUGAGGAUCUUCAUUACCCAGCAGCAAUUUUCCUGUCUCUAAUCAAGAUUUCUACGUGGGAAACAAUAAGGAGGGAAGCAGCCUCAGGAAACUACUACAGGAGCCACGAGCCUAUAGAUGGCAGUUGAACCCAUGGUGAAUGUCUCCAUCACCCAGGAGGGCAUGCAUGAGGAGAAUGGGAGACAUAGCAUCUAGGACCUCAGUGUGUGCAGAGGCAUAUCCCAUAUCCCAUUGGAAGCUGUGGCAUUUGGUACCAGAAGAUGAAAGAAUGCAGGAAUCUGACUCUCACAACACCCCAGGAUUCUUACAAGUUGCAAAGCGUCCGUGGUGCUGUCCUUUCCGAGGUGGUUCACAGAUGGAUUUCACAAUACAAAGGAAGGAAGAGAGAAUGACUUCAGCUGUACCCCCCUCAAACUCACUGUAAACCCUGUUAACAGGAGUCCUCCCCCAACCGAGUGUCCUGAGGGUGCUGCUGAUCACGGUGACUGUGCAGCCUCAGCCGAGCUUGUUCCCUUGGCAGGUUUCCUGGAGGAUGGAUGACUGAAGCCUGCUUCUCAGUGUAGGCCCUGUGCGUCCUCACACCCCUCUCCCGUGGGUCCUUCAGCCAUGUCGGGCCGUCCCAUCCCAGGGCCUUUGGCACACUCUUCUCUCUGCCUGGAGUGCUGUCCUCUGCUUCCGCCUGGUACCUCCUCCUUCACUGGUCAGCUCUCAGCUCUGGUGUCUCUUCUGGAGGGAACCCUUCCCUCUCUGCCCCCCACCCUCACCUGAGCAACUUUCUCCCCCACUCACAGGGAGCUGUGUGAUUUCUUUGAUGGCAUUUAUUCCAGUUUGAAAGUAGGCACAGUGUCUAACUCAUGAUCAUUACUUUAUAAACAUUUAUGGGUGCAGUUGAUAUAUGGUCAACUUACUCAAAGAAAGUGGCUGAUAUCCUCUCCCAACUAGAUAACAAUUCCCUGAGGAAUGGGCUCGGGUCUGCUUUUGCUCAGUGCUUCAUCUCUAGCACGUAGUCAGUGCUCACAUAUUUUGCAUGCAUUAAUGGACUAAUGAGCCAAUAAAAAGCUAAUCCUCACCAGCUCCUCCCAAGAUAGCCAUUAUCAAUCUCAUUUCUAGAUAAGGAGGCAGACACUCAGGGGAUUUGGGCCUGUCCAAGGCCAGACGGCCUGUGAGUGAGGCAACAAGAGUAUUCCCAGGGAAGGCUGCUGAUUAGGCGAAACCACUAACUAGCCCGUUGCCUUGGAGUCAAUGCCGACUCGUGGUGACCACAUAGAACAGAGUAGAACUGCCCCAUAGGGUUUCCAAGGAGUAGCUGGUGGAUUCAAACUGCAGACCUUUUGGUUAGUAGCCAAGUUCUUAACCACUGUACCACAAGGGAGGAGGCUGGGUGAAGCCAUUGAAGGAAGAUUUGAGUUCUACCAUGUUUGUUUUCUUUGCUGAUGCUCGCAAAAUGAUUUCCUUCUCCAAAUAUGUUCAUAAGAAGUUGAGAUAUAAGCUACAGUAAACUAGAGGAGCUGAGAUAAUGACAAGGUGAUUCCUAGCCCUGGUAGGUCAGUCCUCAAAGUAUCGUAAUUGGGUGGAAUGUUUACAGUAACAGCUAAGAGACCUUGAUAGGAGCAGAAGCAGGGCAAUCGUCUUUGUGCACAAAAUGGGUUUUUGUCCCUAUUUUGAGGGAAACUAAAUUGUUUGCUUGAAUAAUUAAUGGGAUAUAAAGUAAUAUCUCACUGAAUAUACCACGGCUGCCAAAAGAAGGAACAGAUCUGUCUUGGUGGAAGUACAGCCAGAGCACUCCUUAGAAUCGAGGAUGGCAAGACUUCAUCUUGCUUACUUUGGACACAUUAUCUGGAGGGACCAAUCCCUGGAGAAGGACAUCAUGCUAAAGUAAAGGGUCAGCGAAAAAGAGGAAGACCCUCAACGAGAUGGAUCGACACAGUCACUGCAACGACUGUGAGGAUGGCAUAGGACCAGGCAACAUUUCAUUGUUAUCCAUGGGGUCGCUAUGAGCCAGAGCCAACUAACAGCACCUAACGACAACAAAGUAAGCAGGAUUGGAAAUCCAGUGAUCUCAUGGGAGAGUACUCAGAUAGGAGUGAGAGAUGGAAGUUCUGAUGAAAACUCGGGAGCUUUUUCCUAGGAAAAAUGCCCAGACUAACCAAAAUUUGUAUAUAAUUUCUGGAUGUUCAUAUCACCCCUCAAGGCUGUGGGUUCAGAGGACCUGGCUCUAACAUCUUUCCAGCUCUGACAUUCCAAGAUCAUAAAGGCCCAACUUAGGAUGAAGUUGAUAUGCGAAGGAGGAUAAAGUGGACCAAAACCCAAACCCAUUGCCGUCGAGCCGAUUCCAACUCAUAGCGACCCUAUAGGACAGGGUAGAACUGCCCCAUAGAGUUUCCAAGGAGCACCUGGCAGAUUUGAACUGCCGACCUUUAGGUUAGAAGCCGUAGCAUUCAACUACUAUGCCACCAGGGUUUCCAAGUGGACCAAAGCCAAAACCAAACCCAGUGCUGUCGAGUCGAUUCCAACUCCUAAAGUGGACAGCCCCCCUAAUAAAUCAUAGAGUAGGAAUAGGUGAGAAGCGGACAUUUGUGCCCAUGUGACCUCACUUCUACUGUCACAGACUACACAGGGAACAAUGACAGGUGUGGGUCACUGGCCCUGGAUGCUGAACGGUUGAACUCCGGGACAGAGCAGAAAGAAGUGGGGGCGGGAUGGGGCGCCAGUGAUCUGAUAAGAGGAUUAGGUUGCUGCUUCCCUCCUGGCCAUCUGUAAUGCCCUCGGGCUAAGCCUGCUGCUUGUCUUCAUUCUUUCUUGGUUUGAAAAGGUCUUUCUGUCUCAUUGUCAAUAGCUGCAUGCCAGCACCCUGAGCCACCAGCCCUUCCCUGCACAACUGAUGUCCGUUCACGCCUUUGCCCUUGCUGUGCCCUCUGCUGGGGAUGCCCCGCCUCCUAUCAGGUACCUGCUUGCUCUUCAAGACACAUCUCAGGUUUCAGCUCCUCUGAGAUGCUGCCCUAAUCAGGGGAGGGAGGAAGGGUUAUCUGUCCCUCCUCUGCACUCACUCUCCGGGCUCCAGGCCCACCCCCGUCCUGAGCUACCACACUGUCCCACAGUGCUUGUCCAUGGUCAUCUUCUCUGCCAAGAUGACGAGCUUCCACCACAAGAUAAUUAGACAUAAACAUUUACGGGUAUAUAUGAUGUAUGGCCAACCUACUGAAAGAAAGCCACUGACGUCAUAUAGGACACAGCCGCUCAGGGGAGGUGCCAAGAUUCAUGACAACAUCUUUCCUACAAAUAAAGACUUGUCAUUGCUUAGGGGGCACUGAGCUUCUGUUAAGGGCGAUGGAAAAUUUUGGAAAUGAAUAAUGGGGAUGGUUGUUCAGAAUGAUGAAUGUAAUUAAUGUCGUUUCAUUGUGCAUACAAAAAAAUGUUGAUAUGGCUAAAGUUUUGUGUAUAUAUAUACAUUAUAUAUAUUAUAUAUAUAUAUACAUAUUUACCACAAAAAAUAAAAAAUAAAGACUGGUCACAAGAGCAUGGGAGCAGCCUGAAGUGGCAGGAAUACCCUAGAGUUGUGGGAGCAGCCUGGGGUGGAGGGAGUAGCCUGGGCUGGAGGGUGCAGCCUGGAGGGGAAGGAGUAGCCUUGGGGUGGAGACAGCAGCCCCGGAUGGAUGGAGCACCCUGGAGUGGAAACAGCCUGGGAUGGGAGGAGCAGCCUGGAAUGGCAGGAGCAGCCCAAAGCUGAGCAUAGAAGCUGCUCCUGGAGGGCUGAGUGCUCUGAGCCUGCACACUGAACACAGACAGUAGCUUCAUAGCAGAAUCCCGAAAUGGCCUCCUAAAGCAGGGGUGGGUGCCUGAGGUGCUCCACCGCCUUCCCAGCACUCUAGAACAAGGGUGAGCACAUCAAAAGCUGAAGGUUUUCAUGCAGGAUUCUCAUUUCCCAAAAGCAUCGCAGAGAGCUAAUGUUUGUAAGGUCCACAUGCCUUUAUUGUCUUUUAAUUAAACCUCUUUGUCUGAGCCCUGACGUGAGAAGGUUUCGGCUCCUCUGAGAUGGGUGUGGACAGGACAAAGCUUGUCGGGUGAACUAGGCAGCCCUGGACAGGUGGAGGGAGGCGCUCUUGGAAGUCAUGUGGGCAAUGAGUGAUGCCAUAAGGAACUGCCAGUGAUGAGAAACCAAUGGAGAACUGGGGUGUUCUAGUAGAGGAAAAGAGCCCUGGUGGUGCAAUGGUUAAGCACUCGGCUGCUAACAGAAAGGUUGGCAAUUCAGAGCCACCAGAGGCUCCAUGGGAGAAAAGAUCUGGCGAUCUUUCCCCAUAAAGAUUGCAGCCUAGGGAACCCUAUUGGGUAGUUCUACUCUGUUACCUGGGGUCACUGUAAGUCAGAAUCGACUCGAUGGCACCCAACAACAGCAAGUAGAGAAAACUCCAGGAAGACAAUCAAUACAUACAGGACCAACUUCACGUCUGAGCAACAACCUUCAGGUAGUCAUCUCCCUUCUGAGCCUCAGUUUCCUCAUGUGUUAAAGGCAGCCAUUGGACAAGUCCAGUGGUUUGCACACAUUUUUUAUCCAGAGACCACCUUACUGAAGUGAAUCUUGUGCGAUGAGCCCAAUAGGUCCAGGAGAUAAAAGUGAAGAAGCAGCAGCGAGGGGUCCAGAGCCCUGGCCACACAUAGCACCAUCUCCUCUAAGCCCCUCCACCCCAGAGACAGAAAGGUCUCUGAGGAGCCCCCCUGGAAAACCAUUGCACUAAGUUGUUUCUAAGGCCAUUCCAACUUUAACAGCCUGCAGUUUUCCCCUCGAUAUGCCAAACUCCAAUAACCCAAAUGCCAGACAGGUAACAUACAAGGGUGACCUUGGCUCACUUUAGCUGUGACAAAACUGGGUUAUUCUAACAAGGGAGCCCCAGAGAAGAAGGUGCGUGUCUCCAGCCUCAGUUUGUAUACAGCUGAACUCUGGCAGAUCUAGAAAUACAGGGCCAAUGUUAGCAGAUCGGAGUUCCCCAAUGAGGCCAGAAAUCCUGAUGGUUCCAUGAAAUAUCCUCAUUUUUAUCCAUUGGGAACUAAUUGAAAUUGUCGCAAAAAAACAGAAGGGCUGACUUUAGCCAUAUUCAGCCCACUGGCUGCUGGUGAGUGACCUUCACCCUAAGCCAUUCUCUAAGUUGGCUCAGGAGGUGCCUUUCUCUUCAUUUGAUAACCAGUUUUGGGGUGGGGUAGGGGUGAGAGAGAAAAUCACGUCAGAGUCUGUCCUAGGCCCCUAGGGCUGCCAUAACAAAAUAACACAAAGUGGGUGUCUUUAAGAACAGAAACUUACCUUCUCGCAGUUCUGGAGGCUGGGUGUCUGAAUUCAGGGUGUUGGCAGGGCCAUGCUCUCUGUCUGUCCAUUCUACGGGAAGACCCUUCCUGGCCUCUUCCAGCUUCUGGUUACCCCAGAUGCUGGUUGGCUUUUAGAUGUGUCUUCACAUGUAUCUGUCUUCCCCCUCCGUCUCUGCCCUUUUAUAAGUCACCACUCAGAAAGGAUUGGGGCCCACCCUACUCCUGUAUGACAUUGUUAAUGGAUCACAUCUUCAAAGAAAGACCCUAUCUCCAAACAAGGUCACAUUUACCUGUUCUGGGGGUAGGUCUUCAACAUAUCUCUUUGGGGGACACAAUUCAAUCCAUAACAGAGGCAGACUCAAACGUGAGGACCAAAGACUCCUGAAGGGGGCGUGGUUUCUAGAUACCCUCUGGACACGCCGAGCUUGUGACCAGCCCCUUCACCCUCACUGGGGCUGCCUUCCCAGCCUUUCCCCACUGUGGGUCCUGCAGAGCCCAGCACCUUGCCUGGUUCCCACUCUCCCUCCUCCCCUGCUUGCUUCAGAGGGAGACACCACAGAGAAAAUGCCUGCAGAGGCCAGGGCCUGUUCCAGCUGUGCCCC